rnacentral:rRNA from 1 species
CUCGCUCCGUGACCGCUCCGGUGACCCUCUAGAGGUGGCGGCGCGAGCGACGGGUGACGGUGAAGGACGAUGAGGAGAACCGCGAGCGACUCAUUGACCUCCUCUGCGCGGCUGGGCCAGAGCUGGAGGAGGAGUGCGACCGCUCUUCACGGCGGCGGCGGCGGGGGGCCGCUGGGGGUCGAGCGGCGGCAGCCGAUGCUCGAGGCAGCAACUGUUGGGCGGGGCCUAGGCCGGAGCCUAGAGGGAUAAAGCCGGCCAGGGGCGGUCCCGACGGAGCGGCCUCGGGGAGGGGUUCGUCGCGGCGGCAGGGACGGAGGACGAGCACGCGCUGCUCCCCUAGACCGUUCGGUCUACGACCGUACGCGCGCCUCCCACGCUCGCGCCUAGACGCCCGACGAUCGCGCCCACCCUCGGUACUCCUGCCUCUUUCUACAGGGGUUGCGCCAUCGAGCGACCCUCUCCUCCCCGCCGCCCUCCUCCACGGCCGACUGUGCCUCCUCCACCCCGCAAAACAGACAAAAACGCAA